AGCAGCCGCGGUAAUUCCAGCUCCAAUAGCGUAUAUUAAAGUUGUUGCAGUUAAAAAAGCUCGUAGUUGAAUUUCGGGAUUGACGUGAUGGUCGUGCCUUACGGGGUAUGAACUGUCGCAGUUGAUUUCUCACCUUCUGGAGAAGCUCGAUGUCCUUAAUUGGGUGUCUUGCGGAACCAGGACCUUUACCUUGAAAAAAUUAGAGUGUUUAAAGCAGGCAUUUUGCUCGAAUACAUUAGCAUGGAAUAAUAGAAUAGGACGGCAUGGUUCUAUUUUGUUGGUUUCUAGGAUCACCGUAAUGAUUAAUAGGGAUAGUUGGGGGGCAUUAGUAUUCAAUUGUCAGAGGUGAAAUUCUUGGAUUUAUUGAAGACUAACUACUGCGAAAGCAUUUGCCAAGGAUGUUUU
rnacentral:rRNA from 1 species